GGCAAGGUGGCGGAGUGGUUAACGCGUCAGCCUCGAAUAGGUGUGAGAUAAGGGGAGGCUAUGCAUCCCCGUCUUAUAACCUCCUUAGCUGAUUCCUUAGGGAGCGCCGGUUCGAAUCCGGUCCUUGUCG
rnacentral:tRNA from 2 species